UGGAAAGUCAAGCAGCAAGGUGUAGAAAUUGAAAGUCAAGCAACAAGGUGAAAAAGUUGAAAGUCCAGUAACAAAUUAAAGAAAAUGAAAGUCAACAGAUCGAAAAUAGCAAGUCAGGAGCACGCUUGCAGAACAAGGUGAUGAAAUUGAAAACCAAGCAACAAGUUGAAGAAAUUUCAAAUCAGGAGCCCGCCUGAAGAAUAGGGUAAUGAAACUUAAGUCAAGAGUCCAACAGAAGCUGCGUAGAUAGGAUUUUAUAAUUUUAUUUACGUUUUUAACUUGUAAUUUUCAUUUUUGAUGUAAUAACAGAGUCGCGGACCGGAACCUCGAUGGGACCUCACUCGACUCUCCAACUCGGCAUAGUUCAUCUCCUUCCAAUCCUUUGAGAUAACGGUCACUCGAUUCUCUCAUAACUUGGGUAGGUAGAAUGUCCUAAGCCAAGACCUGGUUUCCCUCCUUCCUCGUGCUGCGUACUUUUGAAUAAAGGUUAGGACAAAAUUCUGUCUCGUUGUCUACUGUUUUGUAUGAAAACACCAUGUGUUUACAUCCAAAGGGGCAUGAUGUAGACACGUAAUUUUGUCCUUUCCUGAAAAUAUUUUAAUCAUUUUUAUUUUAUUUUAUUUUUUAAUUUAAUUUUUUUAUUUUUAUUUUUGUUUUAUUCACCUCACCAUACUUUUGUUUAAUUGAUAAUUUCUCCCUCCAAAAAAAGAACUAAAAAUAAUUAAAUACAUAGCAUCUUUGCCACCUCACUAUGCCACCUUA
rnacentral:lncRNA from 1 species